CACAGAUGCUGACCUGGCCCAGACUCUGCCGCACAAGGGACUCCCGAGUCUCCUGUCUCUGCGCAGGCCCCUCUCAGUCACAGGUCACCACACACCACAGUGCUGGAGGGAUGAGCUUGCCCUCGUGCGGUCCAGGGUGGUUUCCCAGAUAUGCCAACAGCAGCCUUUCCCUGAGUCCCUGAGGAUGUGCACACCCGUGGCUGAGGGGCCGCCAGAGAAGGUGCCUUUGGGAAGAGAUAGCCGUCAGGUAGUGACCUCCCUGUGGCUUGGCCUGCACCCGUGUGCGCUUGUUGCAAGGAGGGCUGUGGGAGCUGCCAGUGUUCACUGUCUCACGGGUGGAGGGGCGGGCUGAAGACAAGAAGUCUUUUUUUCUUAAUUCUCCGGGAUGGAAAUUGGGGGUGGAAAAAUCACAUACAAAUUAAUGUAGCCAAUGAACAAGUCUAUAUGGACCAGUUUCCAACAUUUUCUAUGUCUGUCGUCCUGCAGCAGGUAAGUAGAGGCUAAAGCAGCAGCAACAGCAACAACACAUAGCACAGACCCUACUGAGACAUCCGUCCUGUCUUCAAGAGCUCGACAUUUUUAGGUUGUCCUCCAAGGUCCUGCCAUGGUUGGAGAGACGCACUGUAUCAACUCCACGGCUGACCCAGACAACCGGAACCCUGAGGCUCCGGGGGAGGCUGGAAA
rnacentral:lncRNA from 1 species